rnacentral:rRNA from 1 species
GAUGAACGCUAGCUACAGGCUUAACACAUGCAAGUCGAGGGGCAGCAUGGUCUUAGCUUGCUAAGGCCGAUGGCGACCGGCGCACGGGUGAGUAACACGUAUCCAACCUGCCGUCUACUCUUGGACAGCCUUCUGAAAGGAAGAUUAAUACAAGAUGGCAUCAUGAGUCCGCAUGUUCACAUGAUUAAAGGUAUUCCGGUAGACGAUGGGGAUGCGUUCCAUUAGAUAGUAGGCGGGGUAACGGCCCACCUAGUCUUCGAUGGAUAGGGGUUCUGAGAGGAAGGUCCCCCACAUUGGAACUGAGACACGGUCCAAACUCCUACGGGAGGCAGCGGUGAGGAAUAGUGGUCAAUGGGCGAGAGCCUGAACCAGCCAAGUAGCGUGAAGGAUGACUGCCCUAUGGGUUGUAAACUUCUUUUAUAAAGGAAUAAAGUCGGGUAUGCAUACCCGUUUGCAUGUACUUUAUGAAUAAGGAUCGGCUAACUCCGUGCCAGCCGCCGCAGUAA